AGCGAACGCUGGCGGCAGGCUUAACACAUGCAAGUCGAGCGGGCGUAGCAAUACGUCAGCGGCAGACGGGUGAGUAACGCGUGGGAACAUACCUUUUGGUUCGGAACAACACAGGGAAACUUGUGCUAAUACCGGAUAAGCCCUUACGGGGAAAGAUUUAUCGCCGAAAGAUUGGCCCGCGUCUGAUUAGCUAGUUGGUGAGGUAACGGCUCACCAAGGCGACGAUCAGUAGCNGGUCUGAGAGGAUGAUCAGCCACAUUGGGACUGAGACACGGCCCAAACUCCUACGGGAGGCAGCAGUGGGGAAUAUUGGACAAUGGGCGCAAGCCUGAUCCAGCCAUGCCGCGUGAGUGAUGAAGGCCCUAGGGUUGUAAAGCUCUUUUGUGCGGGAAGAUAAUGACGGUACCGCAAGAAUAAGCCCCGGCUAACUUCGUGCCAGCCGCCGCGGUAAG
rnacentral:rRNA from 1 species